UACGUAGGUGGCAAGCGUUGUCCGGAAUUAUUGGGCGUAAAGCGCGCGCAGGCGGCUAUGUAAGUCUGAUGUUAAAGCCCGAGGCUCAACCUCGGUUCGCAUUGGAAACUGCGUAGCUUGAGUGCAGAAGAGGAAAGCGGUAUUCCACGUGUAGCGGUGAAAUGCGUAGAGAUGUGGAGGAACACCAGUGGCGAAGGCGGCUUUCUGGUCUGUAACUGACGCUGAGGCGCGAAAGCGUGGGGAGCAAACAGG
rnacentral:rRNA from 1 species